AAAUUGAAGAGUUUGAUCAUGGCUCAGAUUGAACGCUGGCGGCAGGCCUAACACAUGCAAGUCGAGCGGUAGCACAGGAGAGCUUGCUCUCUGGGUGACGAGCGGCGGACGGGUGAGUAAUGUCUGGGAAACUGCCUGAUGGAGGGGGAUAACUACUGGAAACGGUAGCUAAUACCGCAUAACGUCUACGGACCAAAGUGGGGGACCUUCGGGCCUCACGCCAUCAGAUGUGCCCAGAUGGGAUUAGCUAGUAGGUGGGGUAAUGGCUCACCUAGGCGACGAUCCCUAGCUGGUCUGAGAGGAUGACCAGCCACACUGGAACUGAGACACGGUCCAGACUCCUACGGGAGGCAGCAGUGGGGAAUAUUGCACAAUGGGCGCAAGCCUGAUGCAGCCAUGCCGCGUGUGUGAAGAAGGCCUUAGGGUUGUAAAGCACUUUCAGCGAGGAGGAAGGGUAGUGUGUUAAUAGCACAUUACAUUGACGUUACUCGCAGAAGAAGCACCGGCUAACUCCGUGCCAGCAGCCGCGGUAAUACGGAGGGUGCAAGCGUUAAUCGGAAUUACUGGGCGUAAAGCGCACGCAGGCGGUUUGUUAAGUCAGAUGUGAAAUCCCCGCGCUUAACGUGGGAACUGCAUUUGAAACUGGCAAGCUAGAGUCUUGUAGAGGGGGGUAGAAUUCCAGGUGUAGCGGUGAAAUGCGUAGAGAUCUGGAGGAAUACCGGUGGCGAAGGCGGCCCCCUGGACAAAGACUGACGCUCAGGUGCGAAAGCGUGGGGAGCAAACAGGAUUAGAUACCCUGGUAGUCCACGCUGUAAACGAUGUCGAUUUGGAGGUUGUGCCCUUGAGGCGUGGCUUCCGGAGCUAACGCGUUAAAUCGACCGCCUGGGGAGUACGGCCGCAAGGUUAAAACUCAAAUGAAUUGACGGGGGCCCGCACAAGCGGUGGAGCAUGUGGUUUAAUUCGAUGCAACGCGAAGAACCUUACCUACUCUUGACAUCCAGAGAAUUCGCUAGAGAUAGCUUAGUGCCUUCGGGAACUCUGAGACAGGUGCUGCAUGGCUGUCGUCAGCUCGUGUUGUGAAAUGUUGGGUUAAGUCCCGCAACGAGCGCAACCCUUAUCCUUUGUUGCCAGCGAUUCGGUCGGGAACUCAAAGGAGACUGCCGGUGAUAAACCGGAGGAAGGUGGGGAUGACGUCAAGUCAUCAUGGCCCUUACGAGUAGGGCUACACACGUGCUACAAUGGCGUAUACAAAGAGAAGCGAACUCGCGAGAGCAAGCGGACCUCAUAAAGUACGUCGUAGUCCGGAUUGGAGUCUGCAACUCGACUCCAUGAAGUCGGAAUCGCUAGUAAUCGUAGAUCAGAAUGCUACGGUGAAUACGUUCCCGGGCCUUGUACACACCGCCCGUCACACCAUGGGAGUGGGUUGCAAAAGAAGUAGGUAGCUUAACCUUCGGGAGGGCGCUUACCACUUUGUGAUUCAUGACUGGGGUGAAGUCGUAACAAGGUAACCGUAGGGGAACCUGCGGUUGGAUCACCUCCUUA
rnacentral:rRNA from 1 species